rnacentral:rRNA from 1 species
AACGAACGCUGGCGGCAUGCCUAACACAUGCAAGUCGAACGAACUCUUCGGAGUUAGUGGCGCACGGGUGCGUAACGCGUGGGAAUCUGCCCUUGGGUACGGAAUAACUCAGAGAAAUUUGUGCUAAUACCGUAUAAUGACUUCGGUCCAAAGAUUUAUCGCCCAAGGAUGAGCCUGCGUAAGAUUAGCUAGUUGGUGGG